ACUCAAAUGAAUUGACGGGGGCCCGCACAAGCAGCGGAGCGUGUGGUUUAAUUCGAUGCAACGCGAAGAACCUUACCCGGGCUUGACAUGCGCGUGGUACCCGAGGGAAACCGAGGGGACCCGCAAGGGAGCGCGCACAGGUGCUGCACGGCUGUCGUCAGCUCGUGCCGUGAGGUGUUGGGUUAAGUCCCGCAACGAGCGCAACCCCUGCCGUCAGUUACGAAGUCUGGCGGGACCGCCGGGACCAACCCGGAGGAAGGUGGGGACGACGUCAAGUCAGCAUGGCCCUCACGUCCGGGGCCACACACACGCUACAAUGGCCGGGACAACGGGCUGCGAUGGGGCGACCCGGAGCCAAUCCCAGCAAACCCGGCCCCAGUUCGGAUCGGAGGCUGCAACCCGCCUCCGUGAAGUCGGAGUUGCUAGUAACCGCCGGUCAGCACACGGCGGUGAAUGCGUUCCCGGGCCUUGUACACACCGCCCGU
rnacentral:rRNA from 1 species